GAAACGACUUAUCUGAACCUUCGGGGAACGUUAACGGCGUCGAGCGGCGGACGGGUGAGUAAUGCCUAGGAAAUUGCCUUGAUGUGGGGGAUAACCAUUGGAAACGAUGGCUAAUACCGCAUAAUGCCUACGGGCCAAAGAGGGGGACCUUCGGGCCUCUCGCGUCAAGAUAUGCCUAGGUGGGAUUAGCUAGUUGGUGAGGUAAUGGCUCACCAAGGCGACGAUCCCUAGCUGGUCUGAGAGGAUGAUCAGCCACACUGGAACUGAGACACGGUCCAGACUCCUACGGGAGGCAGCAGUGGGGAAUAUUGCACAAUGGGCGAAAGCCUGAUGCAGCCAUGCCGCGUGUAUGAAGAAGGCCUUCGGGUUGUAAAGUACUUUCAGUUGUGAGGAAGGGGGUGUCGUUAAUAGCGGCAUCUCUUGACGUUAGCUAACUGCAACAGAAGAAGCACCGCCGUGCCAGCAGCCGCGGUAAUACGGAGGGUGCGAGCGUUAAUCGGAAUUACUGGGCGUAAAGCGCAUGCAGGUGGUUCAUUAAGUCAGAUGUGAAAGCCCGGGGCUCAACCUCGGAACUGCAUUUGAAACUGGUGAACUAGAGUACUGUAGAGGGGGGUAGAAUUUCAGGUGUAGCGGUGAAAU
rnacentral:rRNA from 1 species